rnacentral:lncRNA from 1 species
AGGCCCAUGAAAAACUAACUAUUUCUAUGCAACUGAUUUCAACAGAUGUCUGGGAGGGGGAUGGGUAACAUGUUAAAAUCAAUUUGAUUUUGAGUCACUGCCUUAUCAUCAAAAUAUUAAUUAGUUUAGCUUCUCUUUUAAUAUGCAAAUUAAAUUUGAUUGUGAGUAGAAAAAAUAAUACUAAAGUUACAUAACCUGUCGUUGUGCUGUGAAGUUGGUUUAACAUAUUAACAAAUUAAUACAUUAAUUACAAAGUUAAUGUAUUUAGACUAAUAUUAGUAUAUUUUCCAGUACAUUAAAAAUGUAUUGGCUUAAUGAAUGACUAUAACCGAAUGACUCUCCGAAUGUUUUUUUUCUUUUUCCAAGUACCUUAAAAAUUUGGCUGUUCCUCUAUAGCACGGGUGGGUAAUUCUAGUCCCGAAGGGCCAGAUUCAUGCACAGUGCUUUUUCUACUCUAGCACAUCACAUUGAACAUAGAGCUGUUAAUUGCAGGUUUAGCAUCAAACUGUGCUGGAAUCUGCUCCCUAAAUAGACUCAGGACCGGAACAGGUAAUAUCAGUUUGAGCUUCCAUGGAAACUGAGAGACCUACUAUUCUCAGAUUGGCUGUGGCUCCACUGGGGAGCUCCUGAUAUGUGUAGUGUCCAGAAGUGGCUCUGAUUCACGCAUAGUAUUAGGCCAGAAUAACAAGGAUUUACAGGGAACAACACAGAAAGCAGUUGAUUGUGUAUAAACGAGGGUUCAUGAAGGAUUAAUUCAGCCUCCUGCUGCGAUGAUGACUGCACUUCAGCUCCAGUCCCCUCCAGCGCGGAGUCUCUCCAUGCCGUGCCGGUAUGAUUACGAGGCCCAGGGAAGCAUCCCCCAGCUCUCACUACAGUGGAGGAGCCCCAGCAAGCAGCUGCUCUGCCACUUCAUCAAACACAAAAACUACAGGAACUGCACAGCCGGCUACUCAGUGCUCUACAAGCCCGGGAACGUUACUCUAGUCAUAGAUGAAGUGAAGGAGGAGGAUUUCGGGAGGCACGUGUGCUCCAUCAGCAAACGCCACGAUUUCUCAG